CAAGCUUGAUUUCAAGCAGCAAUAUUGUGUACGAAACUGCGACUAUGUACAGUACCUUCCGCCAUAGAGUUAGUAGAACAACUCUAGAGGAAAAGCUGGGCCGGAAACAUAGAGUUAGUAGAACAACUCUAGAGGAAAAGCUGGGCCGGAAAAGUGGGAACCUCUAGGGCGCCGCCCUGUUGCUACUGGUCAAUGUGGCCAGCGCAAUUACUAUUGAAAGAGCUGAGAACAAGUACAGGUCACCUUAUGCUUUGUCACCUAAAAACGCAUACCUGAUGGCUUUAUGAAGGUGGUACGUUAAUAUUAAGUUUACAGGAAGCGAUCACUAAGUCCGUGACUUAUGUAAAUCACGAUGUACGCAUUUAUGCAAUAAAGGAUGACGCAAAUUUCGGUUUCGAAUCUGUUUUUUGGAUGCGUAGUAGUUUCGUUUGACAUGCGAUCGCGCGUCGACAUCGGACGCUAUGACACACUCGUGCCUUAUGUGCCACCGAAGCCCCGAAGUGGUCUGGCAUAUACCUUCACAUAUAUGCAAUGGCAAGCCCUUCCGUGUGUUCCAAAGACAAUGCCUACGCCUAGCCACAGCAGCUCCCUCAUACAGACUCCACAAACCAAGAGGCCGUGGAGGCAAAUGCAGGCAGCCAGCACACCUCGAACAGCCACCUUGACUGCGGGUGUGUCACCCUAGUCGCCAAGGAAACAUUUGAGGGAAAGUGACAGGCAAUGUGAACAGCCACUUCUCCAUGUAAACAAUACUCUUUCUCUCGGAUGACUCCUACGCCUCACCACGCCAGCACACUUGUGCACAAAGAUGCCGCAGAGGCACGUGCAGGUCAGAGGCAAGAAGCAGUGGCACUGGUGUCGACAUUUACCCAAUUUCUUUUUCUUACACUGAGGCAGCCAGCACACCUCGAACAGCCACCUUGACUGCGGGUGUGUUAGUUGAUUCCUGUUGUACAUAUGCUCAUAAUAAACUUCAGUAAACUUGAACUUCAUAAUAAACUUGAAGGCAAAUGGGA